rnacentral:rRNA from 1 species
GGGCCUACGGGACGUAGCAGUGGGGAAUAUUGCACAAUGGGGGAAACCCUGAUGCAGCGACGCCGCGUGAGUGAAGAAGUAUUUCGGUACGUAAAGCUCUAUCAGCAGGGAAGAAAAAAAGUCCUUUGGACUUUGGACGGUACCUGACCAAGAAGCCCCGGCUAACUACGUGCCAGCAGCCGCGGUAAUACGUAGGGGGCUAGCGUUAUCCGGAUUUACUGGGUGUAAAGGGAGCGUAGACGGAAAGGCAAGUCAGAAGUGAAAACCCAAGGCUCAACCAUGGGACUGCUUUUGAAACUGUCAAC